UGGCCACCGCAAAAGAGGCCUCCGUCGUCAACGGAGUUUGCGUGGUGGUGGGGGGCGGGGCGGGGGGCACUGGCACUGGUUCGUACUUCUCUCCACCUGUCACCAUCCUCGUUUUCCGUUUCAUUUUUCUUUCAUUCCAACUUGUUGUUGGAUCCAAUCACCCAAAUCUAGUCUCAAAUUCCAAGAUCCGCUGGUUAAUGUGAGUCCGAGGAGGAGAGGGGAGGAUCGAUCAAUCGCUUGAAAAGGAGAAAGAUCCGAAGAUGGGAGGAGUUGGGGAAAAUAUCAUGGUGAGCGCCUUGACAGGGGUGAUGAGCCCCGUCCUCGGCAAGCUCACUAAGCUUAUAGAGAAGAAGUACACCGAGCUCAAGAACCUGAGGAAGAAGCUGGAGCACCUCAGGGAGGAGCUGAUGGCCAUUAACCUCGCGCUGGAGAAGUACGCGGCUGUCGAGAGCCCGGGUGUGCAGGUGAAGGCCUGGAUGGCGGAGAUGCGCGAGAUGGCUUACGACAUGGAAGACAGCAUCGAUCUGUUCAGUCACCGCGUCGACUAUGAACCGGCUGACACCACCAGACUCAAGAGCUUCUUCCACAAGAAGAUCCGGAAGCUCAAGAAACUACACUACCGCUACAGGUUUGCUGAGGAGAUCAAAGAACUCCUUGCUAACGUCAAAGUAGCAGAGGAGCGUAGAAAGAGAUACAAGAUCGAAGAGGGCAGCUCUAGCAUCUCGCACACGGAGAUCGAUCCUCGGUUACAGGCACUCUAUGUGGAGGUGGAAGAACUCGUGGGCGUCGAAAAACCAAGCCAGGAGAUCAUUGUUCGGCUUGUCGACGAGAACCCAAAGGAGCGACGGAGGGUUGUCUCCAUCGUUGGACCUGGAGGUUCAGGCAAGACUACACUUGCUAAACAGGUGUACGAGAAAAUCAAAGGUCAAUUCUCUUGUGUAGCUUUUGUAUCGGUAUCGCAAAAGCCCAACAUAAAUAACCUUCUACGGGAGUUGCAUGUUCAAACUGGAGUUCCGAAGUCGAUGGCAAUGGGAUCUUGCAGCGAGCAACUACUCAUCGACCAGCUAAGAUCAUAUCUUAAAAAUACAAGGUAUCUUGUUGUGAUUGAUGACGUUUGGACAACGUUAGCAUGGGAAACCAUACAAUGUGCUCUUCCAAAAAAUGCGCGGACAAGUAGAAUAAUCAUAACAACACGCAACAACAGUGUAGGUCAGUUCUGCUGCACUUCAGAUGAGGGUUUCGUCUAUGAAAUGAAACCUCUUAGCAGAAGCGAUUCUGAAAAUUUAUUUCUCAAAAGGAUAUUCCGUGCUGAAGAUAAGUUUCCUGUUCAGCUGGAGGGGAUUAAAAAUCAGAUACUUGAAACAUGUGAUGGUUUGCCACUGGCUAUUGUUACUCUAGCUAGCUUGUUAGCUACUAAACCGAGAACAAAUGAAGAAUGGGAGAGGACACUUAAUUCUAUCAGCUAUAUGCAUGAAAAAGAUAGUGAGCUGGACAAAAUGUAUACGAUACUUUCUCUUAGUUACAACGAUCUACCUCGUCAUAUGAGGAAUUGCUUAUUGUCUCAGUACAUUUCCAGAGGAUCAUGAGAUUUACAAAGAUAUCUUGGUGUGGAGAUGGAUAGCUGAAGGAUUUAUCACUGAAAAACAAGGUUUUACUUUGGAGCAAGUUGCCGAGAGUUACUUUUAUGAGUUGAUAAAUAGGAAUUUGAUCCAGCCGAUAAACUUGGUUCCAAGAUAUGGGAUGAAUGCAGUAGAAGAAGGAUGCCGAGUCCACGAUAUCGUACUGAACUUCCUCAUCUCUCGAUCAGCUGAAGAAAAUUUUGUAACUAUGUUGGAUAACCAGGGCCUUCCAUCUUCAGAUCGAAGGAUUCGUCGGCUCUCUGUCUGGUACAAUCCAGUACAUGCUGUAGCAGUCUUUCGAGGAACCAUGAAUCUGUCUCAUCUCCGUUCAGUUAGUAUAUGCAAUGUUGGAGGUUGGACGAUGCCUCCUGUUUUGGACCUACCUGUUCUUCGGGUGUUAGAUCUAUAGGAAUAUGAUGAUUCGUGGCUUGUUGAUCAUGAUGGCUUUUUAAGUUUAUUUCAUCUGAGGCAUCUAAUGUUCAGCAUGGCAAGUGGUGGUACGCUACCGGCCCAAAUCGGGUAUCGGACUUUUGAUCCUGAUUGCAUUUUAAGUUUAUUUCAUCUAAGAUAUCUGAGGUUCGGUGGAGGACGUGGUGCCAUGCUAACGGCCCAAAUUGGGAACCUACAGUACCUGCAGACCCUCGAUUUAACUGGAGCUAAAGUAACAAAACUUCCAGGAAGUAUUGUUCAUCUCAAGCGGCUGAUGUGUCUUGUUGGGUACCAACUCAUCAUGCCAGAUGGUUUUGGUAACAUGGAAUCCCUUCAGGAAUUAGGGAAUCUUGAUGGCUGCAACUGUUCCAUAAGUUUUGGGGAAGAUCUAGCACUUUUGAGCAAGUUAAGGGUGCUCCGAGUGACGUUCAUGUGGGGCAGCACAACUGAUCUGAGAACUAGAAGGGAAUCUUUGUUGUCAUCCCUCUGCAAACUUGGAGGAAACAGCCUUCGCUGUGUCUACAUUUAUGACAACGUUGGCGGUGGAGAUUGUUUUGUGGAUUCAUGGUGCCCUCCUCCAUGCCGCCUCCAAAAGUUUAUUCAUAUCAGUAAAUACCUGAGGUUUCCAAAGUGGAUUAAUUCCUGCCUCUGUGAUCUAACGUACUUGGAUAUACUUGUUCAAAAGAUGGAGAAGGAAUAUCUACGUAUUCUUGAAGAUUUACCUGCCAUUCGUUUCCUAUACCUUGACGUGAAGCAAGUUUCAGAUGAUGGCCUCUUCAUCAGUCACGGUGCAUUCCCAUGUCUAACAUGCUUCCAAUUCUAUAAUAUCGAUGGACCUGGUUUGAUAUUUGAAGGAGGCAUGCCAAUGCUAGAAUGGCUUAGGCUCGGAUUCGACGCAGACAAAGCACAAUCAACAUACGGCAGUUUAGAGGUUGGCAUUGGGCACCUCUCAUCUGUCAGACGUAUCGGUCUCACCAUCCGAAUGAUAUCUCAAGGUGAAAAUGAUCCGGUGGAGAAGGCCGUCAAAUCUAUCAUCAAUGGCCAAGUGCAGAUGCUUCCCAACUGUCCCACGGUUGACAUCGGAUUUAGUAGACGAAGGCUGCCGGCAGGAAGAGAAAGGCCAUGAAGAAGAUGCAAUUACAGCCUGUGUCUGUCUUGUGGUAUGUGUACUGUACUAUGUCUAUGUUGCUUCUGUGGUUUGUGCUUGUUGCCAAACUGGGAAGAUUGUGUUGCGUUUAGGUUAGCUGAGACAUUGUCCUAGCAGAGAAAUUAAAACAUACAACCACUAGUAGACAAGUUGAUUAAAAAGAUAGCGAGUUGAAGAGUGAAAUUGUUGUCACAUAGGCUGUGUUUGGUAGGGUCAUUUACUCUUCAAAGACUGCUUCAUGAAUUGGUUGGUUCAGCACAUUUCGAGAAUCUGCAUGUCAGGCAAAUGAUAAUCUCACUGCUUUUGUGCAGAAUU